AUUGAACGCUGGCGGCAGGCCUAACACAUGCAAGUCGAACGAGUGGCGGACGGGUGAGUAAUGUCUGGGAAACUGCCUGAUGGAGGGGGAUAACUACGGGAAACGGUAGCUAAUACCGCAUACCAUCAGAUGUGCCCAGAUGGGAUUAGCUUGUUGGUGGGGUAACGGCUCACCAAGGCGACGCUCCCUAGCGGGUCUGAGAGGAUGACCAGCAACACUGGAACUGAGACACGGUCCAGACUCCUACGGGAGGCAGCAGGGGGGAAUAUUGCACAAGGGGCGCAAGCCUGGUGCAGCCAUGCCGCGUGUAUGAAGAAGGCCGUCGGGUUGUAAAGUACUUUCAGCGGGGAGGCGUUACCCGCAGAAGAAGCACCGGCUAACUCCGUGCCAGCAGCCGCGGUAAUGC
rnacentral:rRNA from 1 species